rnacentral:rRNA from 1 species
CCUACGGGAGGCAGCAGUGGGGAAUUUUGGUACAAUGGGCGCAAGCCUGAUCCAGCAAUGCCGCGUGAGUGAAGAAGGCCUUCGGGUUGUAAAGCUCUUUUGUCAGGGAAGAAACGGUUGUUCCUAAUACGGAUGGCUAAUGACGGUACCUGAAGAAUAAGCACCGGCUAACUACGUGCCAGCAGCCGCAGUAAUACGUAGGGUGCAAGCGUUAAUCGGAAUUACUGGGCGUAAAGCGUGCGCAGGCGGUUAUAUAAGACAGAGGUGAAAUCCCCGGGCUCAACCUGGGAACUGCCUUUGUGACUGUAUGGCUAGAGUGUGUCAGAGGGGGGUAGAAUUCCACGUGUAGCAGUGAAAUGCGUAGAUAUGUGGAGGAAUACCGAUGGCGAAGGCAGCCCCCUGGGAUAACACUGACGCUCAUGCACGAAAGCGUUGGGGAGCAAACAGGAUUAGAUACCCUGGUAGUCCACGCCCUAAACGAUGUCUACUAGUUGUCGGGACUUAAUUGUNUGUAGUCNGCACGACGNGAGUAGACGACCGUCGGAGGUACGGUCGCGAGAGUAAACGUACGAAAGAAAGUUAGUAGCGNGAGACGUGCGACGGACGACGACGAGGGAGGAGG